UUUAAACAAAUUAAGUGUGAAUAAGUAUAUGUUUUAGUGACCGAUGAAUACGAAUAUCGUUCAACUUACACAUCAUUUUUUGUUUUGUUUACAAUUGAACAAUUUGGAUUUACAAGUUAUGUAAUUUGUAGUAAAUGUUGACAUCCGUCAAUGUAGGCGGAAUGUUCGGUGUUCAUGUUGGCAGCUAUGUAACCGUAGCUAUUGUACGAUGUUUAAUGUUGGUACGACUGUAACCUUAGCUUCUUGUCCUGUUCCGCGUUGUUCUUCGUCGAGGCAAGGUUGGUGGAAGUUUUAUACGAGUUUGAAGUGUGUUUUAAUAAAGAAAUAGUUCACUGUAGUGGGACAUACGCCCACUCAAGGAACAACAGUGUUACAUUUAACUGAUUGCGGUGGAGCUGUUGUCCUAUGAGGGAGGAAGCAGCUUUGAGUAUUCAGAAAGUUUGGUGUAGCAGUUAUCCUGUGUGCUUGCCUGUAUGGGAGGAAGCUGCUUUGAGUAUGCAGAAUGGUGAGUUUUUAUAUGCAAACUUUUACAAUUAUAUAAUAUCUUAGGAACUAUUUCACCAAAUUCAAUGAAAUAAAAAUACAAUUGGUCAUAAUGAAGUAUAUGAGUUAUAUAUAACUGAUAUAAAAGGCCAUUAAAAUAAUAAUUUACGUACACAAAUUCCUGUCAAUUAUUGAUGAAUUUGUGAGUCAUCAGUGUGGGUUCAGAUGUAACAGAUCAACGAUUGAUCAGAUCUUUUGCAUUUGUCAGCUGUUAGAGAAAAGAUGAGACAGUACAUCAAUUAAUUAAAAGUUUCUAAAAAGCCUACCACUCUGUUAAAAGAAAAGUGUUACACAAUAUUCUCAUUGAAUUUGGUAAACCAAAGAAUCUAGUGAGUCUAAUAAAAAUGUGCUUAAA